rnacentral:piRNA from 1 species
GCAAACAUCACUAGGUGUGCCAAUGCCAGU